CUGAGAUGAGUCUUCCCUGAUACUUUAAGUAUCCUAAAGGGUUGUCGGAGACUACGACGUUGAUAGGUCAGGUGUGUAAGUGCUGUGAGGCAUUGAGCUAACUGAUACUAAUUGCCCGUGAGGCUUAACCAUACAACACCCAAGGGGUUU
rnacentral:rRNA from 1 species